GGCCCGGUGGCGCCUGGGGCGCGCCCGCGAUUUCGUAGGACGGUUAUGCAUCGUAAUCCGGCGGUAGGCGUCUGUUCGAUUCGGACCCGGGCCG